UUAAGUUCAGCGGGUAUCCCUGCCUGAUCCGAGGUCAACCUUGCGAGUAGGUCUUCCGGCAGACGGGGCCACGACUUCCAAAGCGAAAGAUUCUGCUACGCUUAAAGCCGGUGCCACGCCGCCGACCGUUUCGAGGCGCGUCCCCAAGGGGGGCGUCGCCCAACACCAAGCCAGGCUUGAGUGGUGAAAUGACGCUCGAA
rnacentral:misc_RNA from 1 species